rnacentral:rRNA from 1 species
AUACGUAGGGGGCAAGCGUUAUCCGGAUUUACUGGGUGUAAAGGGAGCGUAGACGGGCGUGCAAGUCUGAAGUGAAAGCCCGGGGCUCAACCCCGGAACUGCUUUGGAAACUGUAUGUCUAGAGUGCAGGAGAGGUAAGUGGAAUUCCCAGUGUAGCGGUGAAAUGCGUAGAGAUUGGGAGGAACACCAGUGGCGAAGGCGACUUACUGGGCCGUAACUGACGCUGAGGCGCGAAAGCGUGGGGAGCGAACAGGAUUAGAUACCCUGGUAGUCCACGCGGUAAACGAUGAAUGCUAGGUGUUGCGGGUAUCGACCCCUGCAGUGCCGGAGUCAACACAAUAAGCAUUCCGCCUGGGGAGUACGGCCGCAAGGUUGAAACUCAAAUGAAUUGGCGGGG